rnacentral:rRNA from 1 species
AACGAACGCUGGCGGCAGGCCUAACACAUGCAAGUUGAACGCCCCGCAAGGGGAGUGGCAGACGGGUGAGUAACGCGUGGGAACCCUCCCAGUGGUACGGAAUAACUGACCGAAAGGUUGGCUAAUACCGUAUACGCCCGAAAGGGGAAAGAUUUAUCGCCAUUGGAUGGGCCCGCGUCGGAUUAGCUAGUUGGUGAGGUAAUGGCUCACCAAGGCGACGAUCCGUAGCUGGUCUGAGAGGAUGAUCAGCCACACUGGGACUGAGACACGGCCCAGACUCCUACGGGAGGCAGCAGUGGGGAAUAUUGGACAAUGGGCGCAAGCCUGAUCCAGCCAUGCCGCGUGAGUGAUGAAGGUCUUCGGAUUGUAAAACUCUUUCGCCGGGGAAGAUAAUGACGGUACCCGGAGAAGAAGCUCCGGCUAACUUCGUGCCAGCCGCCGCCGUAA